UGCAAAACAACACUAGGUACUGGCUCCAC
rnacentral:piRNA from 1 species